UGUAGGCAGUUGAUGGCAACAUUUCAAACCUGGAAUAAAAUCUGCAUUAAAGUUACUGCCACUUUCAACAGUGUUAAUUCCAGGGACAGCAGUAAAACUAUGAAGGAAGGCCCUUUAGUGUGCCCAUCAGACAGACAAGGGAUCUGGUCUCACUCCCACCACUGCUCCAGAGAAGAUGGUUGUACUGGAAUCCACAGAAACAGUAUUGGGUUUUCCUAUACUCUGGCAUAAAACUGGGUGAGGGCACGAAUCUUCUGUCUAAUCCAAGAUAUCAGAGAUAAUACAGUACAAUCAACUGCUGCCCAUCAAGGUCUGUACCUACACAUAGCUCCUGCUGAUGAUAAAUUAAUACCAGCUAUCAGAUUGUGUCUGGUUGACAGGGUUAUGGUCUCCCAAUAACCAACCUGACAAUACUAGGUGCUGUCAUCCACCAUGUGAUUGGGGUCAGAAGUCAGGCAUGAGUGGGCCUCCUCAUCAACACACUCCUCCACCAACAAUUGUAUUUAGCCGUCAUGCACGGACAUGUGCAACUACAAUACUUUCUUUUAAGACAAAUGAUUACACAAAUAUCGGCCAUUUGCUGCUGUUUGAUAGUUUUGAUGUCUGGGAUACCAAAGAGUAUCUGACAUCUACCAUGAGCUAAUGUUGGCAUCAAUCAUAUGGCGGAUACUCUCGUUCUGAUGGCACACAGGAUGUUCAAUAUUAGCCAGGGGCAGAUUAAUAAUUUACCCUUCAAAAUCGGACAAUAUUGAAUGCUACAACUUUGUCACUAACUAGUCAAACGCUAUAAACCUUGACUGCUAAUAUGACGUUUACACAGUCAGGAAAAGGAGGAAACGAAGCUGUCGUUACUAUGUGCACAUACAUGCAGUUUCAUACAUCAAUAAUUGAGUGGCAGAGUGGCAGUUGACACAUGUAGUGUUCCUCAUCACUGGGCAGGUAACCAGGUGUUACCACUGAGUAGCAGAUGAGGAAGAGUCAGCGAAAGAUCCAGAGGAGGAGGCCAGGUCAGUAUAGAAACACAUAAUUGUGCAACCAGAUGAUGCGGUCUCCACCAAGGGACAAGUCAUUCGACAGCCAUUUAAAGUUCCAUCAAGCUAAAAUGCCACAACUUGGAUGUGUAAGCUAUCAGCUUACAUGGUUACAAGAAUAUGACAAUGGGCUUACUACAGGUAUCCAAGGAAACACCCAUAAAAGGAAAGACGAGCCAGAUUGGUCAAGCUUUCAAGUGCUGCAGCAGAGAAUGGAGAAAGUUUAGAACAACAUGGAAUGGAGAAAGUUUAGAACAACAUAUCCAGAGUUGCACAGGGAAACGAUGAUAUAACUUUGCCUGGCCUGAGAGUCAUAGAAUACUGUUGGUAUCUGUACCUGCCUAUCCUUGUAUGGGAGGCCUACCAAGGCUAGCAGUAAGGAGAAUCACAUGCUAUCAUCCAGGCUCUUCCUACAGUGUGAGGCUCCCCAUGGGGGCUCAACAUCAUGAGCAAAGCUCACUGGGACAGAGACUGGACGGUGUACUGUUGGAUCAUAAAGAGGCUUCAGUGGGGUUUUAUCUCACAGCAGUACCAGUAGUAUGGUAUUAUUCACCAGAAGAUGAUGCUAUCUGUACUAUCGCCACUGUUCCAACCAUAUGUGACUUAAAAACCAACUGUUCCAUGCAUGGAUGUCAAAACCUGAAACACAUUGUCUACUCCAGUGAAUGGUGUGGUUGUAAAUUCCAUAACUAAUCUAAAAGCCUACAUCUUUUGUUUCUGUAUUAUUUAGAUUCCCUUUACCAUACCUCCAGUACUUCCCAGAGACAUGUCUUUUGGAAGCAAUGAUACACAAACAAGUGAUCAAAUCCAGAUAGGUUUUUUUCUAUGAUAUCAUCUCUUUAUAUAUAUAGUUAUACAUUUAGAAGAACUUUUUGCAGAAGCCAGUUGUGUAUAUAUACAACAUGUGGGGUAGGAGAGCUAUUCAAAAUAUUAUGGCUUAUUUGCCAAACCAGGCCUUGUACCUAGGUGCGUGUAAAGUGUUUGGUGAUGAACAAGACCUUAAAAUUCUCCACCAUCACUAUACAGAUCCAUAGAUACAUACUGAGAACUUCUCAUGUGGGUGUAUGACCUUUGGGUGUAAGACCUUAUUACCUUUCUGCAUCAAAAACAGUUGCUGAAAAUCUAUAGAAAGUAGUAAAAGGUCCAUACACUAUACCUACACGAGUGUCAAUCUUGUAGAAAACACGAAUUUCUAAUGAUAAGUGACAAGCUUGCAGGAAACUCAGAUCUUUAAUGACACAAAUCACAGGCUGUUAAAUUCUUUGAACUUUGAAAUAACUACAGUAGUGAUUAGUCUGUACUUCAACACAUCGGAAGGAAUGUGUGUAAACAGAAUCAAGUCUAGAUGUAACAAUACUAAAAUUCUAACAAUUAAAAUUAUACAGGUAUUGAAGUAUUCUUCUUUUUACCUCAUUGUUUACAUGCACACCUCACUGAAAUUGCCAUUGUAAUUUCAAGGUAAUUUUCAAUCUAAUUAAAUCUAAUUGACAUGAUUAUUCUUGUGUAUUCCGUCUGCUACAAGGAUUUACAUUGUACCUUCAUAAUAAAGGAAUAUAUAUGUAGUUUUAAUAUUAGGUAGCGGAGUUUAUAAUAAAGGAAUAUAUAGGCUAUUUUAAUAUCAAGUAGCAGAGUUUAUAAUAGAGGAAUGUACAUAAAUGUAGUUUUAAUAUUAGGUAGCAGAGUCUGUAAUAAAGGAAUAUAUAGGAAGUGUUAAUAUUAGGUCGCAGAGUUUAUAAUAAAGGAAUAUAUAGGUAAUUUUAAUAUUAGGUAGCAGAGUUUAUAACAAAGGAAUAUAAAGGUAAUUUUAAGAUUAGGUAGCGGAUCCACAAAGGUAAAUUAAUCUGUAUAUCCUCUGUUAAUUAGGAUGAGGUAAAUAUUUCAGGAUGAUACAGAUCAGGUAUAAUACAAAAUAAGGUGAUCAAUAUUUUCGACAGAUAUGGUUCAUUCGACAGGUAUGGUAAACGAACAUCUAUUUUUAAAGCUGGAAUUUUUUACUGAUUGACAUGUCAGUGACGUUUUUAAUAUAUCAAUAGUUAGUAAUUAAUUGAAUAAAUAACCAAAAAUUGAACCAAAAAUUGAAGACAAUGCCUACUAGUACUAAACAAUUCUACUAAUAAAUAAUAUCAUUUAAUUUUCAAUUAUUUUCUAAAAAAAAAUUUUUUUACCAGUAUUAAAAUCAGCCAGGUUCAAUAUGAUAUAGUAUGAUAAAAUUAACCUUUUAUCUGUUACAGAUGUUGUUAUUCAUCCGUUGCCACCACUACGGAUCAAACUCGGAUCAAACUCGGACCUGUGGCUUACAAGUCUGUUGUCUACCGAUUGAGCUAGCUUUGAAGUAGCUAAUUUUCACCAAGCUGAAACUUCUGAACAAGAUACGUUUUCUUUCUCUAAAACAUGAAUCAGUAAUUUUUAGGACUCGGGCAUUGGACUCAUGCUUUUCUAUGGGACUUCCCCCAAAUUUUGAGUACCAACCAUAUCUCUAUCAUUAUCUAUUUUUCCUUUUGAACCAUAGAUAUUCAGAAAUUUCUUGAUUUAAUCAAAUCUUUUCAAUGUAAAAUAGGAUUAAGCAGCCAUCAAGUUGUAUUUUGUAUGUAUGCUUCGAGAGGACUGAAUAAGUUAUAUGAACUUGUGCCCAAUCCUUUUUGUAAAAAGGGCAAAUAAAAUAUGUUUAAACCAAC